AGUGAACGCUGGCGGUAGGCCUAACACAUGCAAGUCGAACGGCAGCACAGGAGAGCUUGCUCUCUGGGUGGCGAGUGGCGGACGGGUGAGGAAUACAUCGGAAUCUACUUUUUCGUGGGGGAUAACGUAGGGAAACUUACGCUAAUACCGCAUACGACCUACGGGUGAAAGCAGGGGAUCUUCGGACCUUGCGCGAUUGAAUGAGCCGAUGUCGGAUUAGCUAGUUGGCGGGGUAAAGGCCCACCAAGGCGACGAUCCGUAGCUGGUCUGAGAGGAUGAUCAGCCACACUGGAACUGAGACACAGUCCAGACUCCUACGGGAGGCAGCAGUGGGGAAUAUUGGACAAUGGGCGCAAGCCUGAUCCAGCCAUACCGCGUGGGUGAAGAAGGCCUUCGGGUUGUAAAGCCCUUUUGUUGGGAAAGAAAUCCAGCUGGUUAAUACCCGGUUGGGAUGACGGUACCCAAAGAAUAAGCACCGGCUAACUUCGUGCCAGCAGCAGCCGCAG
rnacentral:rRNA from 1 species